GUAGCUGGCUUAAGAGGGUAGAUGGAACCAUCUGCCUCGGGGUAGGUAAGUGGGUAGAGGUAAGGCAGCAGAUGAGAGUAACUGUCCUAGCUGUGCUGCGGCUUUGGAUGCUGCCUUGGCCUAUGCUUUUCUUCCCCUUUCACAGGUGUCUCGCACAGGCUCAAAGGAGCAUACUGCAUUCUGAGGAGCUGCGUAAGUAGGGGGGCUGGUCAUGAGCUGGGUUGGAGCGGAAUGGCCAAGUAGCGUGAGGUGACUAUGAAAGGUGUCCGUCUUUCUUUGCAGGUGCCAUGGCAGGCUCUCCACAGAAGUGGCUGAGGAUUUGAGAUGAGGCCGGAGAGUGACAAGGAGCAGCAUGUGCAGGGAUGGUUUCCAAGCGCUGCGGUUGCUUUCUCUUCUGUUUAUCAGGUGCCACAGGCAAGGUGAAGAGGUGCCUGGAGCCCCAUCUCAUCUAGCCUGCGUGUGCCUUGAGGAUAAAGCCUGCUUUCCAGCAGUCCCGAAAGCUAAGUUUGACCUGAAAUGCCCUGUCUGUGUCUUGGGUGGGGUUGUACCUUGGCGUGUGUGUGAUAUGUGCGUGGGGACGGCUUUUAAAUAAGUGCAGCAGAGGAACAGGAUCCAGUAACAACUGGAUAAAGAGGCCCUGGGUUCAUGUUUUUCAGCCUAGCGUGUGCCAGGCAGGGCAGUUCCAGCAUGUGUUCCAUGGUGUAUGUUUGUUUCUGUGUACUAUAGUAUCCAUUUAUCAGGUCUUGUUCCCAUAGUUCUUGGCUUCUGCAGUGCUUGCUGAGCACCAUAUCAUGGGUCUUAAAUGUAUUGUCUUUUUGGCAUGGGACUAGUAACGAAGUGUUUCUUGUCUUUCAUUGGGACUUCAAAAGGCUGAUCUCUCUCAAGAGCUUGACGUUGUCUACAUUUCUUGAUGGUAGCCAUCAUGGCCCUCAGUCUUGGGCUUGUGUGUGUUCAUGUUCAUGUAUGGUUUGGGAGCCUGGCUCCAUGUGGUUUGGGGUCCCGGUUCUGUGGUUUUGGACUAAUGUUUCUGGUUUGGGGGGUGGGGGGGGUGGCGCCCUGCGUGGCGCAGGUCUGCUGCGGCCUGCCUUGCCGCCGUGUGGUGCCAGCCCAGCCGAGUUGGAGCAUGUGAGCAGCUGAAGAAAAAGAGCUAGUGAAAGAGAGGUAUUGCAGCAGUUAGGUUGUGCCUGUGAGGUGCCUGAGGAUCUGCCUUUUCUUUUUUUUCUUUUGCGGAUGCUUCCUGCAGCCUUGGAGAGGUGAAUCCCCACAUCGUGGAGUGCUGAGGAAAAACAAGAGGGUCGUCAGCCAAGUCAGAGUUCCUAAGCAAGGUCCCAUUAAGGCAAGUCUUUGAAGUCCUUCCCCUCUGUUUUAGCAGGUGCUGCGGCAGGCCUUCCUCAGAAUCUGCUGAGGGUCUGAGGUGAGGCUGGGUGGGAUAGAGGAGCAGCGUGGUGGGUGAUUACCUGAGAACACAACGAUCAUUUUAUCCCUUUGUUUUCCCAGGUGGUGUGGGUGAUACUGGCUGAACUGUUGGAGCUUGGACUCAGAGAGGAACGGGUGAGCGCACCCCUAUGUUUCUUCAGUG
ensembl:lncRNA